rnacentral:rRNA from 1 species
UGGGGAAUAUUGGACAAUGGGCGCAAGCCUGAUCCAGCCAUGCCGCGUGAGUGAUGAAGGCCCUAGGGUUGUAAAGCUCUUUCACCGGUGAAGAUAAUGACGGUAACCGGAGAAGAAGCCCCGGCUAACUUCGUGCCAGCAGCCGCGGUAAUACGAAGGGGGCUAGCGUUGUUCGGAUUUACUGGGCGUAAAGCGCACGUAGGCGGACUAUUAAGUUAGGGGUGAAAUCCCGGGGCUCAACCCCGGAACUGCCUUUGAUACUGGUAGUCUUGAGUUCGAGAGGGGUGAGUGGAAUUCCGAGUGUAGAGGUGAAAUUCGUAGAUAUUCGGAGGAACACCAGAGGCGAAGGCGGCUCACUGGCUCGAUAAUGACGCUGAGGUGCGAAAGCGUGGGGAGCAAACAGG